CAGCGGGUCGAGUUCGGCUGGAUCGGAGGACAGGUGCUGCAUUGGCUGUCGUCAGCUCGUGUCGUGAGAUGUUGGUUAGUCCCGCAACGAGCGCAACCCUUGUCCUUAGUUGCCAUCAUUUAGUUGGGCACUCUAAGGAGACUGCCGGUGUUAAACCGGAGGAAGGUGGGGAUGACGUCAAGUCCUCAUGGCCCUUAUGUCCAGGGCUACACACGUGCUACAAUGGCCGGUACAAAGGGCAGCAAAGCCGCGAGGUGGAGCCAAUCCCAGAAAGCCGGUCUCAGUUCGGAUUGGAGUCUGCAACUCGACUCCAUGAAGUUGGAAUCGCUAGUAAUCGCGGAUCAGCAUGCCGCGGUGAAUACGUUCCCGGGCCUU
rnacentral:rRNA from 1 species